ACCAACUGCUACAGUGGUUAAGUCCUUCUCUUGCAGCAAAGAGCUACUCUGCAGACCUUCAAUUCCCUGUGAUGUCCAAUCCAAACACGCCACAGGAGAAUCAGCUGAAAUUCAAGCCACAAGGAAGCAAGGCCAGGCCAAAUGAUUGCAGCAAGCCAGUGGUCCAGCUCAGGGCUGUGGCACAAGAGAGAGGCAUUUCCUCUGUCUCCCAUUGACUCGGAUAGGCUGGAAGUAGCUCUUCUGAGAAAAUAAGUAUUUGUUACUGCAGGACGUAACAGUUUCCUACCAGAUGAACUCACCUGGAAGACUGAAGGGUUUGAGUACAAAACUAUUAAAAGCUCUGCAACACAGAGCAAGAAAAAGGAGCCAUCUCAAUGAGUGCCCUGAGGCCAACAACUGCUGCCUUGGUCAAAGAAACUCACACUACCAUAGUAAGAGCUUUCCUCUUGAAUCAAAAUACACCUUGUAAAAGCACCUUACACGUGUGGACAAACCUAUUAAAUAAUUAGUAAAUAAGAAAUAGAGUCUUUAAAAUGGAUGUCCCAAAAACGUAGCAAAAUACUGAGA